rnacentral:rRNA from 1 species
CCUACGGGUGGCAGCAGUCGGGAAUAUUGCGCAAUGGAGGAAACUCUGACGCAGUGACGCCGCGUGCGGGAAGACGGUCCUCGGAUUUUUAAAUGACUUUGACCGGGAACAAAAAUGACGGUACCUGUAGAAUAAGCUCCGGCUAACUACGUGCCAGCAGCCGCGGUAAUACGUAGGGAGCAAGCGUUAUCCGGAUUUACUGGGUGGAAAGGGUGCGUAGACGGGGAAGCAAGUUAGUUGGGAAAUCCCCCGGCUUAACUGAGGAACCGCAACUAAAACUACUGCCCUUGAGUACAGGAGAGGAAAGUGGAAUUCCUAGUGUAGCGGUGAAAUGCGUAGAUAUUAGGAGGAACACCAGUGGCGAAGGCGACUUUCUGGACAUUAACUGACGUUGAGGCACGAAAGUGUGGGGAGCAAACAGGAUUAGAUACCCGAGUAGUC